rnacentral:rRNA from 1 species
UGUAAGCGUAUACCAAAGUUGUUGCAGUUAAAACGCUCGUAGUCGGAAUUUGGCAGUUCCGGAUGUGUGCACGUCGUGUGCGCACUUCGCGGGGAUUGCUUUUGUGGUCUUGCGUAGGAUGAGGCACUUUUAUUAGUGAACGUCCUCACGCAACCACUUUUUACUGUGAGAAAAUCAGAGUGCUCAAAGCAGGCAUUUGCCGUGAAUGUAUUAGCAUGGAAUAAUAGAAUAGGACUUGGUUCUAUUUUGUUGGUUUGUUGGGACUGAGUAAUGAUUAAGAGGGACAGUUGGGGGCAUUUGUAUUUCGGUGCUAGAGGUGAAAUUCUUAGAUUACCGAAAGACAAACUGCUGCGAAAGCGUCUGCCAAGGAUGUUUUCAUUGG